rnacentral:rRNA from 1 species
AACGAACGCUGGCGGCAUGCCUAACACAUGCAAGUCGAACGAGACCUUCGGGUCUAGUGGCGCACGGGUGCGUAACGCGUGGGAAUCUGCCCUUGGGUUCGGAAUAACAGUGAGAAAUUACUGCUAAUACCGGAUGAUGUCUUCGGACCAAAGAUUUAUCGCCCAAGGAUGAGCCCGCGUAGGAUUAGGUAGUUGGUGGGGUAAUGGCCUACCAAGCCGACGAUCCUUAGCUGGUCUGAGAGGAUGAUCAGCCACACUGGGACUGAGACACGGCACAGACUCCUACGGGAGGCAGAAGUGGAGAAUAUUGGACAAUGGGCGAAAGCCUGAUCCAGCCAUGCCGCGUGGGUGAUGAAGGCCUUAGGGUUGUAAAGCUCUUUUACCAGGGAUGAUAAUGACAGUACCUGGAGAAUAAGCUCCGGCUAACUCCGUGCCAGCAGCCGCCGUAAUAC